rnacentral:rRNA from 1 species
AUUGAACGCUGGCGGCAGGCCUAACACAUGCAAGUCGAACGAGUGGCGGACGGGUGAGUAAUGUCUGGGAAACUGCCUGAUGGAGGGGGAUAACUACUGGAAACGGUAGCUAAUACCGCAUACCAUCGGAUGUGCCCACAUGGGAUUAGCUAGUAGGUGGGGUAAAGGCUCACCUAGGCGACGAUCCCUAGCUGGUCUGCGCGGAUGACAAGCCACACGGGGACUGAGACACGGGCCAGACUCCUACGGGAGGCAGCAGUGGGGAAUAUUGCACAAUGGGCGCAAGCCUGAUGCAGCCAUGCCGCGUGUAUGAAGAAGGCCGUCGGGUUGUAAAGUACUUUCAGCGGGGAGGCGUUACCGGCAGAAGAAGCACCGGCUAACUCCGUGCCAGCAGCCGCGGUAAUAC